rnacentral:rRNA from 1 species
GACGAACGCUGGCGGCGUGCCUAAUACAUGCAAGUAGAACGCUGAAGGAGGAGCUUGCUUCUCUGGAUGAGUUGCGAACGGGUGAGUAACGCGUAGGUAACCUGCCUGGUAGCGGGGGAUAACUAUUGGAAACGAUAGCUAAUACCGCAUAAGAGUAGAUGUCGCAUGACAUUUGCUUAAAAGGUGCAAUUGCAUCACUACCAGAUGGACCUGCGUUGUAUUAGCUAGUUGGUGAGGUAACGGCUCACCAAGGCAACGAUACAUAGCCGACCUGAGAGGGGGAUCGGCCACACUGGGACUGAGACACGGCCCAGACUCCUACGGGAGGCAGCAGUAGGGAAUCUUCGGCAAUGGACGGAAGUCUGACCGAGCAACGCCGCGUGAGUGAAGAAGGGUUUCGGAUCGUAAAGCUCUGUUGUAAGAGAAGAACGAGUGUGAGAGUGGAAAGUUCACACUGUGACGGUAGCUUACCAGAAAGGGACGGCUAACUACGUG